rnacentral:lncRNA from 1 species
AUAAGUGGAGUGUUGGUGUGAAGGACGUCCUUUGUUUGAAUCUUGGCGUGGGCAUUAUUUUUGCUUGUGCGUCCAUGAGAGUUUGAAAUGGACUAAAAAUCUGAGUAGUGGAUUUAGUGGGGAGUUCGAUGGAGAGAAAUAAGAGAUUCGGGUGGUUAUCAAAUAUUUUGUUUUUCUUUUUUUUUACUUUCCCCAAAAUCCCUCUACCCUCUUGCCGUUUUCUCUUCAUUGCUACUGAAUUUCUGCUCUCUUUCACCCUUCAUCUUCUUGAUUUUUCUUUUCCCACUUUGCCUCGUGUUGC